rnacentral:rRNA from 1 species
UACAGAGGUCCCAAGCGUUGUUCGGAUUUACUGGGCGUAAAGGGUGCGUAGGUGGCGAGGUAAGUUCGAUGUGAAAUCUCCGAGCUCAACUCGGAAAUGGCAUUGAAUACUAUCCCGCUUGAGGGUCGGAGGGGAGACUGGAAUUCUCGGUGUAGCGGUGAAAUGCGUAGAUAUCGAGAGGAACACCUGCGGCGAAGGCGGGUAGCUGGGCCGACACUGACGCUGAGGCGCGAAAGCUAGGGGAGCGAACGGG